UUCACAGGCAUCCAAUUUAGGUUUUCAGCAUUCAAGCUGGCUACAAUCCAGCCAACAGCACAGCAAGGAACACCUUCAGAAAGAUCUGCUUCAUCAUUUGAGUGCAGUAUAGGAACAUGUUAGCGGUCAUUAUAUGAGCUAACUCAAACACUAAAAAACUGAAUCCUGGACACAAAAAAUAUGUUAGUCAUGACAAGCUUACUUCAUAUCAAAAUCCCACAGAAAUUUAUGUGACUUGUAAAGUGUGAACCAGAAGGUGCUCUCAGAAAACUUCUAUCCAGUUCAGCAGUUUGCCCUCCAAGACAUGGGAAACUGAAGUUCUACAUGAGGGCUUGAAAUCCUACUUCCCAGUACCUGGAGAACAUUCCAUAUUGUAGGUAUUACAAUAUUUUGAAACAAGCUAUUUAACCUAAAGAGAGUGUACAACCAUGAACAGAAUCCCCAUAUUCCUUUCCCACAAAGAUCUCAAACUCCUUUCCAAGGUAACAUCCCUAGGUGUGUAACUGUUUGUAUUACAGUUGUCACGGUAAUGUCCCAGGUGACUGGUGUCAAAAGACCUGGAUACCAGGCCCUGUGUUAAUUCUCCAGAAUUCAAUCUUUCUUUAUCCACUCAGUGGUCUUAACUGAGGAGCUACAAAGCAGGAAAAAAAAAAAUCCCUGUAGAAUAUUAUGAGUUUUUUAUUGAGAUGCAUCGUUUUCUGCUGGGCAAUUUUUUACAAAGGUUAACUAUGAGGAGAUAUGAAUGCCAAUAUACACUAGGGCUUAUAAAUUAGAAAAGGAAAUUGUUAUAAAAAGAUCAGAAUAAGAAUGAAUUAGUUGGAAAAGUGUAUUUUUAUAAAUCAUUAAAUAAAGACUCUGGAGAAAAAAAAUCACAUGUUAUAUCCUUGUUUAUAACACAGAAUCAUAAAAUUAUGUCACUGUCAAGGAUAUACUAGAAAUUAACUGAGUUACCUGAAUACAUUUUCUAACAGAACUAUUGUUUCACAAGAGUAUGAGUCCUGCACUUUCCAUCAGGACAGGGCCAUUGGAGAUGUUCCAAACUUUAUGAGCCAUGGGUUAAAAAAAAGUAUCUCUUCCCUUAAAAACAAAACAAAAGAAAGAAAGAAAAAAAAUGGUAUGAACAAUCAGCAUUUUAUACUUCAUCCUGGUCAUAGUCAUCUUCAUGAAGAUAAGGGUGGAUUUUCAGGAUUUCCUAUUUCUUCUAAUCUUGGACUGCUUCCCCAGGGAAAAAGAAAACAAAACAGCUUUAGAGAAAGCCACAAGCUGAACAUUAUGACCUACAGGCAACAUGUAAUUAAAAAGUUAACAGUGAGGCAGAAAGGGAAGAUGAAUUUUAAUGCUUUCCACAGUUUCCUGUUAUCCUGGGGCCUUGCAAAGUGAGUAGCACUGAUUGUAAACUUUCUCGACUUGCAUUUAGCAGGCCAGGCCGUUCCACACAGCCAGGGAUGAGGUAAGUGCAGAGCAUCUUUUGGUGAACUGUGGUGCCGUGCAAAGUUCUCUGUGCCUGCAGGGGAAUGACAGGUUUGACCUUCUGUGUGUCACACGGAGCCCCUCACCUGGCACUGGGGAUCCUCCUCGCUUGAGCCUCAUGUGUUGGAUAGAAGUUCAACACUCUCAACAAAGCUCUCAAGUGAAAAGAAAAAAAACAAUGGAAAGGGCACAAAAAAGGAGUGACAAACUGCACGCAAGGUUUCCCUUUAAAAAGUUCAGUUCGAUUUCUAACUCUUACUAUUUCCCUGAAGACUAGUUGCUCUAGGACAAAGGUGUUUUCUAGAUGCAACACAAGACUUGGGCUGCCAAAAAGUCAGUGCAUCAAAUAAGACCACCCCUUUUGCUACCACUUGCCUUGUCUGCAUCACAGCAGCCCCUGGGAGCCUGGGAUGGGGCUGGUGCAUUCAAAACUGAUGGAAAUGUGUGUCUCUCACACAGGAAAAGCUCAGGGAGCAGCAUCAGCAGCCCCAGCGACAAUUUGAUGGCUGCAUGUUCAGACAAUGAUUCUCUGGUUACCAAUGUUUAAUUUUAUAAACCUAAAAGUAGCACCAUUGAUUAUAUAAGAAUUACUCAUGCACACAUAAAUAAAAGCUUGCUGGACUGAGCAUUUGCAUGUGUGUUUUUAUGUUUAUGUAAAUAUUUCUUUAUCAGACAGGAUUUGUAUCCUGAUCUUGCUAAACAAACAUCUG